rnacentral:lncRNA from 1 species
AUCUCCUGAUGCGCCUCCAUAUUAUCGCCAUGUAUGGAACUAUGGAUAGUGUUGAGAACCCACCGUAUGGGCUGCCGUGGUCUUCUCCUCACUCGGCGAUCCAGGAACUUAUAGUUGAGUGGUGAUCCAUAUUCCUCCUCGUAACUUCUUUACCCACCCCUCAAAUAUCAUUAUUUGUCUCCAAAUCGUAAUUUGUAAGAAGAUUAUUGCUUGUUCAGUGAUGACAAACAAACAAAUUUCCUUGCAAGAAGCAUCUUGCAUAGCAAAGGUAUGUUUGAAUUCUUUGUAGUCAUGUAGAAAAAAAUGACAGUGUAACUUAUGUCUGAUGCUGAUAGAUGUUUCCCGAGAAGCAUGGUUACACCGUCUGUGUAGGGGUGCCGUGGCUAAUUGUGUGUCAUGGCUGAAGAACAAGUUGCAAUCUGUUUGGUUCAAGGUUAAUGAUUUGUAAAAUUAGGCAUUUACACUUAUGGUGAAUCUAUUAUUUUGUUCGAGUGUACUUCUAUAGUGUGAGUAGCAACCUCCCUUUUCUUUUGUGUUCAGCUGUCCUCGUAUCUUGUGGCUUGCUGUAUUACAUUGUUUUGAUUCGGAUAUGUUAAGUGAAUUUGCUUCAAUAGUUACACCUUAAUAGUUUAGUAUUGUUUAACGUUAUAAAUUGGUGUACCAUCAUUAUAUAACUGUUGAGAUGCAUAACAAACAUAAGGCCCAACUGAAUGAACGUGCUUACAAUGGUCUUCUUACUGUUCCACACAUUUGGGUGAUGUUUGGCUACAUACCAAAUAGCUGCCAUGUGUUCUUAUCAACCUGUGGCAGGUAUGCUUAGGAGUCCGAACAGUUACCUCAUUCAAUUUGCCACAAUCUGAUCUAGUUUGACAAGGUAAUCAACAUAAUAGCUCAACUUUACGACAAAUACAGUCAUGCCACAGCUUUGAUGUGUGUCUAAACUUUCAACUGUGGCAAUCUGGAACACCCAACCAAACUGGUCUUAUAUAGCUUGAUGAUACAUGCAUGCAUUUUGAAUUCUUUCUCUAUUCUGAAUAGUGUUAUUGCACGGUUUGAUUUAUGCUGAGGUGAUUUGGGUCAAGGUUGACCUUUAUGAUUUAGGGCAUUCUUUUGUUGCGUGGAUUGUUCUUUUGAAUAAUAUUUUGGAAAUUUUAUGGUGUCUUUUUAGGUGGAUGUCAUGAGAUGGUGAGAGACAUCAAGGGACCAGUAAGGAAGGACUUGGAUUAUGACCGUUGUCAUGCUUGCAGCAAACGCAUCAAACACCGGAGAGGUGCUCAAUUUGUCGCUGGUCACAACCAUACAAGGAUGCCUUGUUUCAGCAUGUUUCCGGACAAGCAACAUCUUUUCACAAGUCCGGAUGAGACAUCUAGGGACCAGUAAGGAAGGACUUCGUAUGGUGAAUAUUUAUCCAAUCAACAUCUCCAUAAAUUAGAUGUCUGGGAUGGAAUGUUUUAAUUUUUUCUACCUAUACAUUAAAUAUCUAGGAUAAAUGUUUUAAACGUACUGUAUAAUUAAAUGCUAUUGGUAUCCUCUCGUACUUCUCUUUGGAGGUGCAUUUUCUGCGAGUAGUACAAACUCUGUUGGUUUUGACGUUUGAUAUCGGAGCAUUUGAAAUGUACACAAU